rnacentral:rRNA from 1 species
AGCCGCCGCGGGAACACCGGCGGCCCGAGUGGUGAUCGUGAUUAUUGGGUCUAAAGGGUCCGUAGCCGGUUUGGUCAGUCCUCCGGGAAAUCUGAUAGCUCAACUAUUAGGCUUUCGGGGGAUACUGCCAGACUUGGAACCGGGAGAGGUAAGAGGUACUACAGGGGUAGGAGUGAAAUCUUGUAAUCCCUGUGGGACCACCUGUGGCGAAGGCGUCUUACCAGAACGGGUUCGACGGUGAGGGACGAAAGCUGGGGGCACGAACCGGAUUAGAUACCCGGGUAGUCCCAGCCGUAAACGAUGCUCGCUAGGUGUCAGGCAUGGCGCGACCGUGUCUGGUGCCGCAGGGAAGCCGUGAAGCGAGCCACCUGGGAAGUACGGCCGCAAGGCUGAAACUUAAAGGAAUUGGCGGGGGAGCACAACAACGGGUGGAAGCCUGCGGUUUAAUUGGACUCAACGCCGGACAACUCACCGGGGGCGACAGCAAUAUGUAGGCCAAGCUGAAGACUUUGCCUGAAUCGCUGAGAGGAGAGGUGCAUGG